UUAUCUAUCCAUGACCAGGGUGAAGCUUGGGUGAAACUAAGUGGAGGUCCGAACCGACUGAUGUUGAAGAAUUAGCGGAUGAGUUGUGGUUAGGGGUGAAAUGCCACUCGAA
rnacentral:ncRNA from 1 species